rnacentral:lncRNA from 1 species
CAGGGAAGCUCAGCUUGGCUGAAGCUGGAGCAGCGGGGGCCGCAAUGACCAACCAGCCACUCAGCAGCCAGCACAGCCUGCGUCCAGUGAGGUCUGGUGUUGGCAGGUGCAGAGUGUGCAGGCCUUCCUUUCCUAGGAGAAGGUGGGUCCCUCGGCCACGACGUGGCUGGGUCUCAGCGCGGAGCCAUCUUGGGCCUGGCCUGGGAGCUGCCGGGUCCACAGGCUGCAUCUUCAAGCCAGGCAGAUUCAGGCUCCCAGAGGGGUCCCAUCCGUUGUCCACCUGGCAAAAGGACCUUCUAGAAAGUUCUUUCUCAAAGGGGAACUGACAUUCCUGCCCUACUUUGUUCCAAGAUGGGAGCUGUGGUCUCAGAGGUAGGUGUGGAAAACCCAGAGUGGGGCUGCCUCUGUCUCUGCUCAAGGAUUUCUAGUUUGCUCAUGGAAGGGCUUGGUUUUGUCAGCAGCUGUGGCCUGGAUCGACCCUGUGGUCAGAGAUUGCCCAAAGCCCGCAGGCUGGUGACAGUCAGUGUGUGGCAGGAGCAGGAAAGUGAGCUAUUUCUCAGCUGCCCAUUUCUGGGGCGCCACCUUGGAGCUGGGGGGCGCUGGUACUUGGGGUGAGGCCCAAAGUUGAUUCUGAAGGGUUCUUAAAUGCCGAGCAGCAGGGUGGCAAUGUCCAGCCACACAGACAACCCAGUCUGGUCACGUUUGGCCUACACUCUGGGCCAGGCACACCCGGCCUCAGCCUGCACCUGGCUUGCUUGGACAGUUUCAAGUUCAGGAGCUGAUACUGGUGGUGGCAGCCAGCUUCAUUUUCUUUGAGGCAGUAUAUAAAGUUCAUUGUUUCCCUUAUUCCUGAUGAACAAAACUUUUAAGAUGUAAGAAUACAGUAUUUUGAGUAAUCCACUGUGAGCAUUACAGGCUUUUUUUCAGGAUGAGCAUCUGGAAAAAUAAAUAGGUUUUGUUCUGUUUUGUUUUUCCAGUAACUCAGAUAAAAUGUUAGCACAGUUGGCAGCUUCCUGAAUUAGGCAAAGUAAGUUUUGCAUUUAUGAAAAUGAAACUCAACCAUAAAACAUGGACACAGUCCACUGUUAAUUUUCAGACAUUUUCAUAAUUUGCAAGUACCUUAUUUGCAAAAUUGGUUUUUCGGGAGCUUUAGAGUCCUCAGGGCUGGGUGAGCCGUUCUGAGGAGGCUCCUGGCCCCUCCAUCAGGCGGGUGGACCUGGGCUGUGCCCUGCGCACGGCCAAGGAGGGACGCUGUGGCCCUUGGGCGAAAUGGCGGCUGUGCCUCGAAGACACGUAGCUGCAGCGGAAGCUAAGAGGCUUGAGCACCGAGCCAAGCCUGCCGCCACCACCACCCCCCCGCCCCCUGCGGCCUCUGGCGUCUGGGUCUGGCUGAUCCGAGCAGGCAGGAAAGGUUGGGUUUCAGCGCUUUGUUCUCUGGGCGGCCUGGCCAUUGAUUAAGGCCCGUUGGGCAGGUUAACCAGCCACCCACUUUUUCGCACCGGGAUUGCAUUCCUGGCCAGGCCCCCAACCUCCUCCCAGACGGGGCUGAGCUAGGCGCCCUGGGGGGUGUUUGCUCUACUGGGCAGCCUGGGGCCUCUGGGCCGCUUCGAGCCUUUCCUCGAUUUUCCCAAGCGAGCCUGGUGGAAGGUGCCUCGCCCAGGAGAGGAGCCUGCUGCUCCAGAGAGGAGCCUGUUUUCAGUUUUCAUUUCCCCACUGUGGCUGAGGCUCACACUGUUGUCAUCCCUCCCCUGCCCCCGUGCCAGGAGAAGCCAGGGUCCCCUGCUGAGCUGUGCUCUGGGCAGAGAUGCAUCUCCCAUCCCUGCCUUGGAGUGUGGAGGACUGACACUCCUGCCCUCUGCGCCAGGCCUGUGCUCAUCUAUACUUCUCUCAGCCUACCGCCCAGGCGAGGCUCCUGACUGCCCAGUGGGCAGUGCAUCACCCUGGCCUGUCCCUUGGCUGUAGCCAGACCAGCUUUGGGCCCUAUAGGGUCCCCCAGCCCUCAGGGCUCCCCAAGACGUCCUGCUCCUGAGUGGCCAAGGGCAUUGGAGACACUAGGCCCCCCCGAGCGGUGGGAGGUGGCCUGUCGGCCAAGCAUGCUGGGGAAUGUGCUUGACCCAGCCUGGAGGGUUGGAUGCUGGGCUCUGCCCACGCCCCACUCAGCCCUGCAGCCUCCCCUGUGGCCUGGCCACCAGGCAGAGGAGCUGAAAUUUCACUCAGCUCUGAAAGGGAAGCCUUAGCUCAGAAAACAAGUGAAAUUGCAACCUCAAAGCACAGAUUUGACAGGGUCAGAGGGACAGGUGUGUAACUUGGAAGGAAGGGGGCACAUCCUGUGGUGUCUGCGGGUACAGGGCUACAGGGCAGGGACCCAGGGGUGGCAGGGACUCUGAGCCAGGACAGCCUGUGGAGGUCCAUGUGCCUGAAAUAUGUCCGGCCACACCUGCCGGGCUGAGCCAGGCAAGGGCAGGUGUGCAAAAUGCUGGCCGUGGGGAGUGGGGAAAGACCAGGCCGCCCUGGCCCUUCCUGUGGUCGGCUGGCAGCUGGUGGAAUCAGCGCAGCCUGCACCCCUUAGUAGACACUGCAGGAGGAAGAUGCUUGGACCCUACCCAGCCCCUCUCCAAGCCCAGGCUGCCAUGAGGUAGGAGAGAAAGGAGCAGAGCAGGGUCUGAGAGGUCAGAGUGCCAGGAGACUCUCCCCGGGCAGCUGCCCAGGCCUCUCGGCUCCAGGAGGGGCUGUAGGCUGGUCACUGAGCACAUGGGUGCUUCAGAGCAGCCCUUUCUGAAUAGCCUUGUCCCCAUGGGCCCCUGGGCGGAGGGCUCUGUGUUCUGUGUGGGGCUGCUGUUCACCUGCUCCGGAGCAGGACUCCAGGCCUGGUGCCACUGGGAGAGGGACAGUGAGAGGAGAGCCGUCCUGCCUCUCGAGCUGGGUUGCUUGUGCCUUGCCCAGUGCCCUUCCUGGGCGCUGGAGAAGGGCAGGUGGGGCUGGGCAGGAAGCAGGCUCCAGACAGCGUCCUGGGGCAGAGGCCAGUGGUAUAGCCUGGCCAGCCUCAGACACGGGAGGUGCCAACCUGUGCUCACAAUGGGGCUCUGGGGCCUGGACCACGCCUCUCUCUGGGACCACCCUGAGGGAGGCUCUACCCACCCCUGCUCUCCUUCCUAUUCCUUGGGCCACCAGCCUCUGGGCGGGAUCCCCUGCCUCCCGGAGUGCCCAUCUGGGCCCACACAGUGACACUGGGGCUAGAGGGCAGUUCACUAUGGCCCCAGCCCCCGUGAGGCCUCAGGCACCUGGGACCCUGCCAAGCCCUUGCCCUGUGGGGCUGCCCCCCCGCCCCACCCAGGGCUCAGAGAAGAGACAGCUCCUCUCAGGCACCCGUCAGCCCCCACCCAAGCCCCAGCUGGCGGCCCCCAGACCAAUCUGGGCAGCCGUGGCCAUCUUACUGGGCAGCAUUGGAUGGUGUCUGGUCUCUAAUACUGCCUGGUAAUGAUGACGGCGGAGCCCUGCACGCAGCAACGGGGCCGCCUCCCCUCCGCUCCCACCCCACCCCCACCUGGAGCCCCACAACGCGCCCAUCCCUCCAUCCUGCCCACUGGCUUCUGGGUGGAGCCGCGGGACAGAAACUCGACCCUGGGAAGGAGACUGGAGCACGCCGCGCCCCAGCUCCUCUGAGGAGCACCCCAGCCUCCAGGAUGAAAGGCCUCCUGCAGCUGCUCCACCCCUCCCCCCAGCCAGUGUUCUGGGGAUUAGGACGCUCAGGUAUCCUGGCCCUGCCCAUGGCACCCAGGCAGGUGCUGCCACCACACCUGGCAGGUGUGGGCUGCGGAUACUGCAGCAAAGGGCUCUAAGGGUAAAGGCUCAGCAGGGCCCAUGGGUGGGGGUGGGGCACCCAGGCUGGGCCUUGCUCCCCUCCUGCUCCACCGUGGGGAGGCAGCUGUACCUCCAGCCUUGGUCCCAAGCCAGCACACAAGGUCCCCUGCUAGGGAAAACCAGGGAAGGCAGACAAGCGGCUUCAGGUCUCUGCUGGCCCCAUCCAGUCCAAGCCAUUCACUGCUCUGGGUCACCGGGCUCUGAGCCUAUGGGUGGAAAGCUACACUUCUGUCCCCUGCACCCCGUGCUGGGUGCACCUGGGCAUCUGUGGGCAUCUUAUCGGACAGUGCUGGAUUUCUCGGCUUGACUCUAACACUGUCUGGUAACGAUGUUCAAAGGUGACCCACUGCCCUCGAGAUCCCCCGAGGAUGUGCCAUCCCAAGUUCCUGGAUCCAGACGUAGGCAGGGCAGGGGUCCUGCAAUUCUGGGGGCACUCACCGAGGGGGCACCCCUGCCCAUCAUGCCAAGGCUGGCUAGGCUGGUUCUGCCACAUGAGGGGCCCCAUCCUGGAGCAGCCUCUGCCUACCCUUACCCCCACUCCUCCCAGGCUGGGUUUUGGGCUCAGCUAGUCCUGUAGAGCCAUCAGGCCCAGGACUGUGGGCUGGAGGAGGAGACUUUGGGCCUGUGGCCUCUCAGCAUUCAGGGCUGUGUAAGUGCCCUGUUCUGGGGACUGGGGAGGCCAGUGUGGUUCAGGCACCCUAGCGCCACACACAGAACUGAGGACGUCCCCCACUGUUUCCUGACCAAGGACAAGGAAUCUGCAUUCCCUCUGCCAGCCAAGGCGACCAGGAAAUUUGUCCAAAAUUACAAUCCAGGAGGACCCAGUUUAUUUUUUUGAUCUGAGACCAGGACACAGG